UUUGUCCUACGGGGCGCAGCAGUGAGGAAUAUUGGUCAAUGGCCGGAAGGCUGAACCAGCCAAGCCGCGUGAAGGACGAAGGUGCCAAGCAUUGUAAACUUCUUUUGUCAAGGGACAAAAUCAGGCUCGAGAGCCUGACCGAGGGUACUUGAAGAAAAAGCAUCGGCUAACUCCGUGCCAGCAGCCGCGGUAAUACGGAGGAUGCGAGCGUUAUCCGGAUUUAUUGGGUUUAAAGGGUGCGCAGGCGGAUUUUUAAGUCAGCGGUCAAAUCGUGGGGCUCAACCCCAUCCAGCCGUUGAAACUGG
rnacentral:rRNA from 1 species